rnacentral:tRNA from 2 species
GCCUGGGUGGUGGAACUGGUAGACACGCAAGACUAAGGAUCUUGUGGCCGUAAUCGGCUGUGGGGGUUCGAGUCCCCCCUCAGGCACCA